GCCACAUACCUUUUCGUCAAGAAUGGUACCUUGCGUGGACUUCGGGCUGGUAACUUCGCUUCAAAAGACGUCUUCGUAUUGUGACAGCGCUAACAGACAGUUGAAGUCCAUUUCUUAUUUUCCUAGAGCCUAUGGAAGGGAUCUGUUUUGCUAGCUGAACAAUUUUUCUGUCAGUUCUUUCAGUAGUCAUCCUUUUUGGACCUCGCGUUUUCGGUUUAUUUUGCCCUUUUAAGGCGCUGCUGACCAUUUUUGCUGAGCAGCCUAGGAUGUCUUGAAUAUUUUGGUAGGUUUUUCCCUCCAAACACAGUUUUCUAAUUUCUUCGGUGCAAAGUCUUGACCGUCCCAUUGUUUAUUUUUGAGCUAAUAUUUAUUAAUUUUUUAUAUGCUAGUAUGUUUAACACUUUUUACUUAUAAAAUCAAGAGCACUGCUAUUUUUAUGAACAUUCUAUAUCCAGUUUUAAAUAAUGUGUGUUCACCGGUAGAAGUAGAGUAUAACUUCAAGCUAAAAGUCUCUAAUAUGAAUACGAAAGACCGUUAGAUGCAACUGAGUCUGACAGGUGUCAAAUGACGAAUGAGCGAACUUACUCGAAUAUCUCAUAAUGAGCACACGAUCUAUCAAUGGAUUUUUCAUUCAGCAAAAUAAAGAUAACUGUAUUUAAAAAUGGUCUUAUUCCUGGGCUACAACUUAAUUGAAGAUCCGUUUGUUGCAAGCGGCGUCCGGCGCGGCGGCGCCGAUAAUAAUCUUAGUUUUUACUACCUGCCACAAAGCUCUUUCACCAAACUGUCUAAAUUUAGCUUGAUUCAAUAAUAAACCCAAUCGUUUCACCCAAAAUAGUGCGCUAAUAAAUUAUCUACACAUGUCUAGGUAGAUAAAACAUGCUUAAUUCAGAAAUUUUAAUAAAAUAACAUCAUAAUCGACAAACAGUUUUUCAAAUGAUGAAAGGACUACAAGUUUAUGGGAAAAGGAAAAACAAUAUUAAAAUUAUUUGAUUACCCAUCGGUCUUGACUUUUGCGAUACCUUCUUAUAAUAUUGUGUUGCGCCAGAAGUGUGUAAAAUGUCUUUCAUCGCAUCACCUCACCAGAAACAGCAACCGAGAAAACAAGCAAUUUUGAUCUAAUUUCUGUUUCGUUUGUUUUUUCUUUUUAUUUUAUCCCACUCGUUAAAACGGCGGCGUGGCGGAAACAUUUUUUCGAACGAAAAAUGGCAACACUAUUCAUCCUACGAUUUUUCUCUUUCUUUGCAACUAAAAGUGACAGAUGACAGUUGGGAAAGAUAUCUCCGCGUGGUGUAAUUAAACACACAACAGAACAGAUACUAGAAGAUAUCACAGAACCAGCCCACAGUGAGAGGACACACAUGCCAUAGUCAACACCACAUCCACAAUGACCAUCGUCGAUUCGAACAUGAAGCUAAUGCAGCCUGAACUGAACAAAAAUAAAUUGGCACCUGGUUCAGCAACAAAUUUUGGCUAACAUUCUGAAACCCAGAAGUGGUGAGGGGGCAUUCACUUUAUUUCCUCCUUCCCCGGUUUGCUCUAUUUAUAUUUUACAUUCAUUCGUGUUGUAUUUUUUUUUUAUUUUUCUUAGGAAAAGAGGUCAGUUUGUGCUUGAGAUUAUCAAUUAAGCGGAUUUAGAUUGGAUGACAAAGGGAGAUGACGAGAAAAUAUCUAGAGAUACAUAUUUACACAUAGCGUCUCAUCCGGCGCGGCGCGUUGUGAGUUCAGCAGAUGAUUAUGAAUUGUAUACCAAAACUUAACUCAACAGAAUUGGGAAACAAUUUGGCAGAGCUGUUUGGCUUGAUGUAUUAUUUUAUGCCGGUACUGUAGUAACCAGUAUAUUGCAUAUAUUCUACGCGGUUGUUUAUUUUUCUUCUAACCACAAAAACACAAAUCGCUAACAAUAAUUUGAAAUGAAUACAAACAACGUGAUUAGAACAUAUUAAUAAAAGUUUAUAGUUUUUUUUUCUUCUUAAUAUCAUUUAUUAGAUCCCUCUUUUUGUAUUUAUCUUCUCUGAUUUUUUGUUAUUUGCAUGAGCUGAAUAAAAAUUUGUUGUAUUUCACUUGUGUUCAAUAUAAACUGUCAAAUUGGUUUUUUUUUUUGGUGUAUUAGUUUUUAAGUUAUUCUUAACUUUAUUUUGUGCGGGAAAGUAUUUGAAAUUAUAAUUAAUUAUUAACUAUCCAAAUCUGGAAUUUUCAAAAGUUAUAAUACCGCUAAGUGCCAGAAUAACUGACAAGAAUCAAUUUGACAGCACAAAUAAUAAUGAAAUA